rnacentral:hammerhead_ribozyme from 1 species
AUCCAACUAGCGAGUCUCAAACAGGACGAAACGCGCGUUUUGGGU